rnacentral:rRNA from 1 species
CGCUUGGUGCAGACAUACUAAGUAAUUCCUGCUCGGUGAUUUUAAACAGCAGCGGUAUCCUGACCGUUCGAAGGUAGCAUAAUAAGCUUAAUAAUUGUAAGCCUGUCAACGGAGCGAUGGGUCCCCGUAAAUUAGAGCCAUUGAUUUCAGAAUUGCCUCGAAAGUAAGAACACUUUUGGUGUAAAAAAAGACGAUAAGACCCUAGAAUUUUCUAUUUUUAGUUUAGAUGGGGAAUCUUUGGUACAAAAAACCACCUAAAAAAUACUCUAGGGAUAACAGCCUCAUUCGGAAGUGACUUCCGAGCUUGGGACCUCGAUGUUGAAUUAGGCUUUAUUGCCCCCAGAAGGGGCACUUUUAGGUCUGUUCGACCUAGCUAGCCU